ensembl:lncRNA
CGUUCACCUCCGAGGGCCCACCCCCCCGGCCGCCGGCACACCUUUCCCUUCGCGGGGUGCAGCCCGGCGGCCUCCCUUCUCGGGGGGCACUGGAGCGGGGUGCGACUCACUGAAAGGCUCUAAACCAGCGGCCUGGUCUGCGGGGCGGCCGCCCCCAGCUCAUCGGCGCCCCUGGCUCCUCUCGCUUCACCGCUCAUGUUUCUGCCCUCCCACCUGCUGCAUUUACACCGUUUUUUCUGUCAGCUCCCAAGUCUCAGGGCAGUUUCUGCCGGGCUGCCUCCAGGUUAGGGCAGCGUCUUAGGAACCACGCUGUCUCCACACAGGCUGCUGGGGAGACGGGACCCCAAGACCCCCAGGCCCAAGCUCUGGCACCCAGUUUGCUGGGACGGGGGCCGCAGGCUUUCUUUCCCCGGUGUUUGCUACACGAGGCAGCACCAGGGUCUAUCUUGACCUUGCACAUUUUUUUUUAAUAACUGCAGUGUAAGAUUUUACAAUCUUACAUAGUUCAUCUGCCCCAUUUUUCUGCCUGUUUAGAUUUUUUAAAUUCUGUCAUUUAGUAUAAUCAUUCUUUCUCAGCCUUAGGACACACACAUUUUUAAUAAACUUGCCUUUUGUAGCUUUAGUCAAGUUAUUCAUUAAAAUGCUGAACAGAUGGGGCCAAAAGGCAAGCUUUGCAGCAGGAUCGUCUAGGUGCUACUGUGCCUUUAAUUAGCACCAUUCAAGUGGCGACACCCCACCAGCUGUACUAAGGACUUCUCCAUUUUGCCCAGACAUAUUUCAUUAAAGACCCUGUUAAAUUCUUUAUUAGGGCUCAGAUAUUCUGCCUACUGUAGUCUUCUAAUCUGCCUAGUCUUAUUAAUACAAAAUCCGAAAUCAGUGUGUCUGAAGAGGUUUGUUCUUGGCAAACCCUGUCGGCAUCCAAGCACUGCUGCUUCCUUAUCACUCUGAAGCCGAGGCCGGAAUUAAAGGCAAGCUGGCUGCGCAGGGCACCCGGAGCUCAGCCGGGCUCCAGCAGGAGACGGGUCUGGGCCUGCCUCCCAGACUUGCUGCUGCUCACAGGUGCUCAAUAAAGCCUGACUCAGCAGUCUCUCUGGACACGCCCACAG